GCCUGGGUGGCUCAGUCGGUUGAGCAUUGGACUUCGACUCAGGUCAUGAUCUUUCUCACGUGUGGGUUUGAGCCCCACGUCGGGCU
rnacentral:tRNA from 1 species